rnacentral:tRNA from 1 species
GUCCCCAUCGUCUAGUGGCCUAGGACACCGGGUUUUCAUCUCGGCAACAGGGGUUCGACUCCCCUUGGGGACGCCA